CGGAGCGACGAUAGUACUUUGAAUGCACCAGUUUCCGAUGGACCACUGAAAUUAAGCAACAUUACACGUGGUUAGUAUUAGGAUGAGUGACUUGGGUGGCCAUCUGGGCAAUUCGCGUGCUGAUGGCU
rfam:Asian citrus Psyllid, Diaphorina citri - Florida Strain, whole genome shotgun sequence.